CCCUUCUCAGGGUCACCCCUGGAGAGUUUUCACGAAUCUACCAGUCUUGAUUAUGGGAGGGAGAGCCAAGCAGAGGCAUAGCCAUUCCAUUCCUAGCUUGGGCAGUGGCUAGCGAGUGGAAGGCAAUCUGCUACAAGU